AUAUGCUUCUAUGGGGACUUAUUGGGAAAAAAUUGCCCUAUUCAACCGAUUGAGGCCGAGGUUGCGAAGAAUGGACCCGUGCUAAUAGAAAAGCAUGCUUUGUCACUUAUUAGUGAAAUUUCGGAUCAAGAGAUUAAAGGGGCCUUGUUUAGUAUUGAGGAUGAUAAAUCUUCGGGCUCGAAUGGAUAUACAUCUUGUUUUUUAGAAACGCUUGGAGUAUUGUUGGAUAUGAGUUUAAGAAGGCUAUCAAAGAGUUUUUCAACUCUUCUUCUCUCCUUGAACAAACAAGUCAUACAAUGCUUGCUUUGGUUCCUAAGAUAAAUCACUCAUCUUUCAUCGGAGACUAUAGGCCAAUUGCAUAUUGUAAUGUAGUCUACAAGGUCAUUACAAAGAUUCUUGCUUCUAGAAUGAGACCUAUUAUUGGAUCCAUUGUUGAUUUAGCCCAAGCGGCAUUUGUGAGGGGAAGAAGUAUGAUUGAAAAUAUUCACCUUGCACAAGAGCUUUUGAGACAAUACAAUCGGAAAAGAGUUGCCCCAGUAUGCCUUUUCAAAAUUUAUCUAAGGAAAGCAUAUGAUUCGGUGAAUUGAGAUUUUCUCAAAAGUGUACUUGAAGGUUUGGACUUUUAAACUAAGUUUAUUGGUUCAAUUAUGAAAUGCAUUUCUACCUUUACCAACCACAUUGUACUCAAUGGUACUCUACAGAGCUUCUUUAAAGUUAGAAAAGGGAUUAGACAAGGUGAUCCGUUAUCACCCCUUCUUGUGUUGUUCUUUGCCUUGAGAUUUUUUCGAGAAUGUUGAAAGCGGAUAUGACAAAAGUGAUUUCAUCUAUCACCCUAAAUGUGGUCCAUUAAAGAUCACACAUCUAGUUUUUGUUGAUGAUUUGAUACUCUUUGCUAGGGAUGAUUUUAUGUCGGUUAGAAUUUUGAUGAAUUGUCUUUCUAAGUUUGAGGAUGUAUAGGGACUUAGAAUGAAUGCUAGCAAAUCUAGCAUGUACACGGCGAGUAUUCAAUUCCAAGAAUUGGAGGAUAUUGUUGCAUUGACCAACAUUCCUAAAGGUUCUAUGUCGUUUCGAUAUUUGGGAAUUCUACUUGCAGUCGAGAAAUUAAAAAUCAGCUCAUAUGAAGUUCUACUUGAUGAAUUUUCAACUUACAUUUG
rnacentral:lncRNA from 1 species